CCUACGGGUGGCAGCAGUGGGGAAUAUUGCGCAAUGGGCAAAAGCUUGAUGCAGCGACGCCGCGUGAGGGAUGAAGGUCUUCGGAUCGUAAACCUCUGUCAGCAGGGAAGAACGGUCACUGUGCUAAUCAGCAGUGAAUUGACGGUACCUGCAAAGGAAGCACUGGCUAACUCCGUGCCAGCAGCCGCGGUAAUACGGAGGGUGCGAGCGUUAAUCGGAAUUAAUGGGCGUAAAGCGCUCGUAGGCGGUUUGUUAAGUCAAGGGUGAAAUCCCCGCGCUCAACGUGGGAACUGCCUUUGAAACUAGCAAACUAGAGUUUGUGAGAGGUUAGUGGAAUUCCAGGUGUAGGAGUGAAAUCCGUAGAUAUCUGGAAGAACAUCAGUGGCGAAGGCGACUAUCUGGCACAUAACUGACGCUGAGGGGCGAAAGCGUGGGUAGCAAACAGGAUUAGAUACCCGGGUAGUC
rnacentral:rRNA from 1 species